rnacentral:sRNA from 1 species
UUUCAGACUUUGGUGAGGCUUCAGGGUCACAGGAAAAGGGAAACCCAUUCUGUGGGGAGAAAGGAGUGACUUUUCUUUAUUCUAGAAAACUCAAUUCCCUCUUAAUAUGGGAUUUAGUGAUGGCUUUUCUUCAGUGAGUCUACAUACACAUACUAGGAGAAGUCCCUUUCCCUCCCUCCUUUUGUUUUCCAGCACUUGUUUUCUGCAAGACAAGGAAGCAGAGCGCUUUGCUGAUGGUGAUUAUCCCUGACAUCUUCCCUUCCUGGACACAUGCCCUGAUUCAACUAUGGGCCUCAUUUUUCACAGGCAGAAACAUCCUUUGAAAAAAAAAAGAAAAUUAAGAUCCAGCUUCACAUUUUCCCCUACAGAUGCUGUUCAGCUCAUGUGUGUGUAAUGGUCAGAGCUCCAACUGCCACCUUGGACUAGCAGACACUAUAAAAG